rnacentral:misc_RNA from 1 species
ACGCGUCAUGUCAGAUCAGCCCGCGGCCCCCCGCCGCUUCCUCCGCGGCACACGAGGGCGGCGCCAGGCGCCGCCCUCGCGUGACUCAAAUCAGGGCGUCCCGCCGAAGCGACGACUCACAGCUCGAGCUUGCCGAAAUGGUGCUCGUAGGCGCCGCGGUAAUCGGUGGCGUUGUAGAGGCCGUAGUAAACCACCCGCUUCACCCAGGCCUUCUGCGACUCCAUCACCUUCUUCAUGAACGGGUCGGCGCCGAGUUGGGCGAUCAGUCCGUCCCAGGCUUUGAUCUGCCCCUCGAACACGUCCUUCGGCGUGCGGAUGACGUUGACCUUGUCCUUCUCGCGCAGCUCCACGAGGUCCUUCGAGUAGUAGUCCAUCGCCUU